rnacentral:rRNA from 1 species
UACGAAGGGGGCUAGCGUUGUUCGGAAUUACUGGGCGUAAAGGGCGCGUAGGCGGUGUGUCAAGUCAGGCGUGAAAGCCCCGGGCUCAACCUGGGAACCGCGCUUGAGGCUGGCACGCUAGAGUUCGGGAGAGGAUGGUGGAAUUCCCAGUGUGAGAGGUGAAAUUCGUAGAUAUUGGGAAGAACACCGAUGGCGAAGGCAGCCAUCUGGACCGACACUGACGCUGAGGCGCGAAAGCGUGGGGAGCAAACAGG